ensembl:lncRNA
AGAGAAUGCAGUGGAACUAGAAGCUCAGAAUGAGAUGGCCAUCAGAGAGAGAGAGAGAAUGCAAAUGCAAAUACAGUGGAACUAGAAGCUCAGAAUGAGAUGGUCAUCAGAGAGAGAGAGAGAAUACAGUGGAACUAGAAGCUCAGAAUGAGAUGGUCAUCAGAGAGAGAGAGAGAAUGCAGUGGAACUAGAAGCUCAGAAUGAGAUGGUCAUCAGAGAGAGAGAGAGAAUACAGUGGAACUAGAAGCUCAGAAUGAGAUGGUCAUCGCUCUGACUGGAAUAUUUGUUCAUGUCAUCUUGAUCAAGGACAGAUUAGCUUUGGGUCUGUAUGAGGCGCUGUCCUGCAGUCAAUUACCAAAAGCCUCAUGGGUGG